AGCAGUCGUCAAUUUGCAUUUGAGGCCCUGACUGAUCCGAUUCCGAUCUCUUCCCGUUGAUCGAGUCUACUCUGUUACUACCCCACCGUCUCUCUUCUCCUCUCCUCUGUGUAAAUGAUGUCAGAGUCAGAAACCCCCUUCAGGCCCAGAGAGAAGCUUAUUGAGAAGCAAAGGUAUUACCAGAGCAUUCACAAACACACUUAUCUGAAGGGUCCUUUUGAUAAGGUUACCUCAGUCGCCAUUCCACUCGCAUUGGCAGUUUCUUCACUUUACAUGAUUGGACGAGGGAUCUACAACAUGUCUAAUGGUAUCGGAAAGAAGGAAUGAAGGAUGUGGGAUUAAAAUGAUCUCAUCAACUGUGGAACUCUUUUCCUAGAAAGAAAUGAUGAAGACAUUGUUUCUUAUUUGGAAUAAUAUACUGUUCCUUGCUUAUAAGUUGUAGACAUAUGACUGAAUGUGGGUUUUGUGAUUCCAGCUUGAUACAUUUGCUUUUGGAUGCAUUGUGUUCAUGCUCAUUUGUUAAUGUGAUUUCUGUUGUGUUCAAAUGUUGAGUUCAAUUAUAAGUGUAAGCACUGUUAAACUAAAUAUUUGGAACUCUAAUAAGUUGGUUUGAGCUUGAUCAAUUGAUUAAUUUUUAUUUGUUGUUCUGU